GAUCCAGACUCCUACGGGAGGCAGCAGUGAGGAAUAUUGGUCAAUGGGCGGAAGCCUGAACCAGCCAAGUCGCGUGAGGGAAUAAGGCCCUACGGGUCGUAAACCUCUUUUGCCGGGGAGCAAGGGCCGGGACGCGUCCCGGCCCGGAGAGUACCCGGAGAAAAAGCAUCGGCUAACUCCGUGCCAGCAGCCGCGGUAAUACGGAGGAUGCGAGCGUUAUCCGGAUUUAUUGGGUUUAAAGGGUGCGUAGGCGGUUUGAUAAGUUAGAGGUGAAAUGUCGGGGCUCAACCCCGAAACUGCCUCUAAUACUGUUGGACUAGAGAAUAGUUGCGGUAGGCGGAAUGUAUGGUGUAGCGGUGAAAUGCUUAGAGAUCAUACAGAACACCGAUUGCGAAGGCAGCUUACCAAACUAUAUCUGACGUUGAGGCACGAAAGCGUGGGUAGCAAACAGGAUUAGAUACCCCGGUA
rnacentral:rRNA from 1 species